rnacentral:rRNA from 1 species
AACGCGAAGAACCUUACCUGGUCUUGACAUCCACAGAACUUAGCAGAGAUGCUUUGGUGCCUUCGGGAACUGUGAGACAGGUGCUGCGUGGCUGUCGUCAGCUCGUGUUGUGAAAUGUUGGGUUAAGACCCGCAACGAGCGCAACCCUUAUCCUUUGUUGCCAGCGGUUCGGCCGGGAACUCAAAGGAGACUGCCAGUGAUAAACUGGAGGAAGGUGGGGAUGACGUCAAGUCAUCAUGGCCCUUACGACCAGGGCUACACACGUGCUACAAUGGCAUAUACAAAGAGAAGUGACCUCGCGAGAGCAAGCGGACCUCAUAAAGUAUGUCGUAGUCCGGAUUGGAGUCUGCAACUCGACUCCAUGAAGUCGGAAUCGCUAGUAAUCGUAGAUCAGAAUGCUACGGUGAAUACGUUCCCGGGCCUUGUACACACCGCCCGU